rnacentral:lncRNA from 1 species
GAGAGUCUACUAAUAAGAUAGGGUCAAGAGCAUUACAAAUAAAAAAGAGGCCCAGAGACCAUAACACUAAUAAGACACAUAGGCCCAGAGAGCUUAAAAAUAUGCAGCUCAUGAGCUCCAAGCUAGCCCAUGAUCUGAAGAAGGAUCCGACCCAGUAAACGACCUAGCCCAUUUCAAUUACAAAUUCUUUGAAGCCGUAGGACUCAGAUUCGACCUGCUCUUCUCCAAAGAACGAAUUCAGAAGAAAACAAUAUCCUUGCAUGUGAAAAAAAAAACACCAUUAAACUCACAAACAAAAGAACGAAGCCUUAAAAACUAAGAUUGGCUACUGAAAGAUCCAUAAGGCAAAGGAAAACAAGAUCAGAAGGGAGAGAUGGAAGAUCUGGGACGACAGGUAGAGCUCUAACAUCUCAUUCUCAUAUGGCAUUUUGGGACCAGAUGCCAAUAGAAGACAGUUAUGGCACUGUGAACGUCCUUAAGAUGACCAGCCUCCAGUUUCCAAAAGACCAAGCCCCAUUCACAUAAACUCGCUAGAAGGCGACAAUAAAACAACCUGCAAAAGGAAACACAUGCAGGGAACAGAAACCUCAAGAUGAACACAGAAAUACGACAGAUCAAAAGAAAGCUCUCCUUUAAGCAUAUAAAAAAUGUAAAAAACUAAAGAAAUAUACAAUCCCCAAAGGUGGGGAGAGCAAAGCUUCCCCUGGCCUAGCUGACAGAAACAAUAGAAAGAAAUCAGGAUGACUAACCCAAGAAGGAAAAAGUAAGAGGGAAAAGGAUAAACCAUAUGGAUGCUAGUAUAGUUCCAUGAUGAGUAGAACAAGCUCAGUAAGUCUGCUUUCUUUGGAUUUCAUUAUUUAUUACACAUCUCCUUUAUUUAAUCUUCAUGACAGAAGCACUAUUGACAUAAGGAAAAAACCAUGGAUAUCUCUUUCAAUCGCACAACAUCAUCAAUCAUUUUCAAGAAUUAAUAUCCCUCCAAUGCCUCACCAUAACGAGCAUCACAGCUUUCAACCUCGUGAGCUUGAGCUCCUUUUCUCCACAAGAUCAAGAUGUGAAGCUUGUGUUUGACCAAUGACUAAUCUUCAUAUUUCUAAUUCAUCUUAAUUGAGAUUUCUUCCGAUUAUUCUGGAAGUCCUUCUCAUAUACAAGAAAAUGAUUCAGUUUCCAAAUCAAAGGUCAUGGUUCUUGAAAGUGUCUAGAAGAGUGAUCGAAAAGAACCAGGCAACGGAUAAUUAAU